AGAAGCAUGAGUCAACUGGAGCAGCGGCCCUGUGAGAGAGCGGAUCGCAGGCAGCACGGAGGGCCCCGUGGAGUCUGGCGGUCAUGAAUUUAUGGUGGCACCAGUCUGCGAGGUCAUCUGAUUUUCUCAAGCAGAGUUCAGCAGCCCAGGUGGACAAAGAGCUCAGAAACUGUGGCAUGAUCCGAGUGAAAAAGAAAAAUACCAAUCAGAGGGAAGGUGUGGCUUCACUCUUGGCAGAGACAGAGGAUAACAGCAGGUCACGAAGAGUCUUGGCUUAUACCCUGCGGCAUUCCAGUCUCCAGGUGAGAAAUUAUGGGAACUGUCACGCCAAAUCAGCUGGUCGCCCUUAUGUCAUGGGAUCCGGACCAGGAGAAGAAGGCUGGCCGGGCGGAGUGCAUGUGAUCAGCGUGUGACAGGCCGUGCAUCCAGCCUACUGAUGGCACUGACUCUCCUGGCCCAAAUAACCACAAAAAGGAACAGAUUUCAGACAGGCAGUUUUACAGCGUCCCUGUGGUUACUUUGCCAACUUCCAGCGACUUCUUUCUCUAGCACUGAGCCGAAGACACACGUAACCAUUAUCAAAAUGUGCUGAAUAUAUAGGUCACUCCGUUUUAGUUAUCUUUAAUCUGAGAUGUAUCGAUUUACCUUUCCACACCAAUCCACUCAAUUUACGUUUAGCUCAAGCUUUCAAAUUAAUUGCAUCCUGAAUUUAAAAAACAAAACAAAACAAAACAGGUUAGGGAGGUGAAGACCGCUAAAAGGGUGUUGUCUUUUCUUCUCUGUCGCUGGAAAGAUUGAGAUGACCGGCUUUUCCAGAGAGCCUUUAAAAGGUUUUUCGUUGUAGCCACGGCCAGUUGUGAUAUUUUCCCCAAACUCUCAUCUGUAGCACCUGCUGCGAAUGUUUCACUUUCUGUGGUUUUUAUUUAAAAUUUCUCCAUCACGUUU